GUUUUGUGAAAAUAUCUUUUGCAAAUGCUUCUCACAAUGCAUAUAGGUUUAUGAUGGUGUUUUUUACAUUUGGCAUUCUUUAGGACAGUUAACGUUUCAUUUUCAUGACAUGCAAUAUAUUAUUGUUUAACAAACACUAGAGAUAACAUUCUGAAAAUAACUUAGAAUAUAAAUGAAAAUAUCUGUUUCCCAACUAUCCUUUCCACAGUACUGCUUUGCAGUUAAGGGAGAUCUCCCUUCCUGGCACUGCUUCCCUUCACUAUCCAUCUUGAAGACAGAUAAAAAUAUUUUGUCUGUCAAGCUGUGCCAUGAUAGUUGCAAUGAUAUCCAGAGGAGUUGCAGUUUUAUAGGAUUAAUACUCCCUCCCGAGGCCUUCAGAAUACUACCACAGAGUAUUUCCUUACAGAGUCAGGGUAAGACUUUUUGUGUUUUAUUUCACUAGUGAUUGUGGAGCCAUUUAAAAUCUUCUGGUAACAAAUCUGAUCCGCUCUUGUGUGGUGUCCCAUUGUCCUGCAGUGUGGUAGUACAAACUGAAAUAUUAGGAAGCUUCCUUUUGCAACAAUGGAGAACCAGAAUUUUUUACAGUCAAUUUUUCUUGGGACUUUACUCAGUUUUUACAUCAGGAAAAGGAAUUUCCUCCGGUUACCCUCGUACAUCAGAGGUGCACAGAAAUGCUGAUUACAUUGCUGUGAUAUGUAACAACACCACCAACAGGUACUACGCUACUUUCCCUUCUUUUUUUGAAGGAACAGGUGAAAGUGUUAUAGGAUUAUCCUGAACUAUGCUUUACUUCUGGUACAAUCAUAACAACCACACUGUACAUUGCUCCAGGGCUUUUUAUUUCCUCAGUCAGGUGAGAGACUUAUUAGUCAGAUGUUUCUCUAUUGACUGUGCAACUAGGUUUUAAGGACAACAUACAAAAUGAGGUAGGGAGAUGAAGGGAGAAAUAUAAGGUCAACUCCUAUUCCACUCGAAUACAUUUCAUUUAACAAAAACAAGAGAACCAGUGCUUUUUACUGAAGAAGUGGAGUUUAAAUGUAUGUAAACUUACUAACCAGUUUAAAAGUAGAAGACUUUUCUAUUUUUUUUUCUUUUCCUUUUUUUCUUUUUGUUUUUAUGGAUAAGAUAGUCUAAGUAUUGUCCUUUAGAGUUUUCAUAAAAACCUUGAAAUAUUAGUUACAGGAUUGUUUUCUUCCAGGCUUUGUUUUGUUUUGCUUGAUUCUAAGAGAAAGAGGAUCUGGCCAAGAGCACUCAUGCAGAGCAAUUCAUAUGUCUCUGAGGAAUUUGGAUAAAGUUUUCUGGAAACUGGGAAAAGUGGAGGAAUACCAGGAGAUAAUUAAUUAAUCAUAAUCACCUAAAACAUAAGGAUUGUAAUCCUCGGUAAAGGAUGUGUAUCUUUGCUGUCCAUGGACAUCAGAAGACUAUCUGCAGUUCUGUGAAAUCAACAGCAUCUACAGUUGGGAUCCAUCUAUGCUAUAGCAAAUUAAGAAUUUAAGGACUUCCCUGGUUGUGUCCUUCCUGGUUGUGCUCUUGACUGAUCAAGAACUGCUGUAAAGAAAGCUGGAAGAAGCCUCAGCAAGGGUUGCCUUCCUCAGGGUGCUGCUUUUUGGACAGAACUCUUGCUUCUCCUUGCAGCUGCUUUACAGCCCUGCCUGUGCCUGAGGGGCUUAUUGACUUGAUGGGCCCAGACUCCCACAUACAGAAUUCAGAAAUAAAGCCCCAAACUUGCAAGCUUUCAUGUCCCUAGCUGAUCUUUCUACUAUGGCAACUUGAAUUUGGAAUUUUCUGACGGACUGAGGUAUGAUUCCCUCGCAUGAGAAUGCAUCCAUGUGAGAGAUGACACAAGAGCUUCAGCUGCACUAUGUUUUAUAAAUAUGAAAACAGUCAAGUAUUAGGUCAGUACUUCAAAAUGCUUUUGUGUGCUUGCUUAUAGUCUACUUUAAAAAAGUAUACCAUCUUCCCUGCAUGAUGCUUUUUACUACAGCGUUGAAGCAAUCUCCUUUCAACUAUGUGUAAAUAUUUGACUGCACCUCUAUACUGAAUUAAAAACUGGAGGAUAAAUAACAGCUGGCACUUCUCCUAAGUGUAAUAGGCAUAGAUGCUUUCCUUAAUAUCAUACGUAUUUAAAGCUCAUUUAUUUUUGAUAUAUUAGGUGAAACAUAUUAUAGGGUUUAGAUAAAAUUUAUUUUUAUCUUUUAGGUAAUUUGAAUUUGUACUGCCUGCUGAGGUAAGGGAGCAGAAGUUGGAAGCACAGGAAUUUACUUUAGAUGUUUGAAUUGGAAUAUAUUAAUAUAUUGAGGAGUAUCUGUGAAGCUGUUUGCCUUAAGUUGAUAAGGAUUUAUGGAUAGAAAGAAGUUUAUGAAAUGACCAAAGUGUCUUCAGAUUUUAAUCUACCAUUAUAAAAUAUAAUGCAUUACUUAGAAACUAAGGACUCAAAAUGCUAAGCUAGUAAUUAUAAAAAUAUACUAAAUGAUUCUAUGGUGUGUAUUUUGAGGCAACAGAUAAUUAUUUACUCUAACAUAGAGAGAAUAAAGAUUGCUAUUGAUCAUACUUUGUUCUAAAAUUACUUUUUUUCCACAUCAAAAUGCCAGCUACAUUGUGGUUUGAGUUGUAAGCUAGACUGCAUAUUUGAGUAUGAAUACGUUUGUAUUAUAGAGUUAGGACAGCUGUUUUCUAAGAUUUUCCAUAAAGAAGAACAGAUAAGUAACUGUUCCAUUGUUUGAACACCCUCAUAGUAAAAAAGUUUUUUCUUAUAUUCAGAUGGGAAUUUCAUGUACUUCCGUUUGUGCCCAUUGCCUUUUGUCCUGUCACAGCACACCACUGAAAACAGACUGGCUCCAGCUCCCUAACAUCCUCUCUUCAGAUAUUUAUAAACAUUGAUAAGAUCUUGCUGAGCCUUCGUUCUUCUGGGCUAAACGGUCCCAGCUCAUUCAGCCUCUCCUUGUGCUUAUCUGGAUUCACAGGAUAAAAGUGCAAUAAAAUACAUUCUGGUGAGAAGGAAUAAUGUCAUGUCCUGGUCCAUCUAACCAUUAUACUCUAAAAAAAAAUGUAGGUACAUGAAUUUUGCUAGCUUGAGGAAGAACAGUUUUUGUAAAGGUCUAGUAGUGGAAUAGAAGAUUAAAUAGUCCUUAUGUCAAUCAUACUUGCAAUGAAUUUGAAAGUUUAAGUAAUCCCAGCUAUAAAAAUUUUAUAAAACCAUUUUUACCAAAUAAAUAUGCAAGUCCUAUGUACAGCCAUGAGGUGUGAAAAAGAUUAGUGUGACACAAAAUUUUGUGAAAUGUGUGAAACAAAAUUCAUAGGCCUAUGCAGGUACAACUGGUAGUUGUUCUAAAGAAAUAUCUAUUGAAUGAUAGUAAUUAUUUUGAAUUCAGUUAAGUGUAGGUCAGUUGAGAAGUGAAUCUAAGUGGUAUUACUGUAGGAAAAUUGUCAAAUCUAAUUGAAUGAGAGGUGAUACAAAAGACUUCUUAAGUAUCCUUGUCUCCUGCAAACUGUGGGAGAGCAAGGCAGAAUAAUACUGUGGAAGGAAUGGACACUGGCACUGUGAUAUCUACGAAAUAAUGUUCUUACCUGUUCCAUGAAACACAGGUUAAGUCCCUUUUUUCCACUGUCUCUUACAGUGGAAUAUACCUGCUGUAUUGAAAAGAGUAGAAGAAAUAUAUUUUUCUUGUUAGGUUUUCCAUCUGAUUUCAGAAUUUUUUGGUGAGAGGUCUGAGAGGAGAGAGGAAGAUUGAGAUGUGGAUGUUACUUCCAUCAACUGGGGAAAAAAUAUCCAAAAGCAUGUGUUCAGUUUGAGAAUCUGGUUGAGAGUAGUUCUUUUCCAUUGGAAAAUAUGAAAUGAAAGUACUUACUUGCGCAGUGUCUUUUUAUUGCUUGAGUAGAAAAUUUAAUAACCUAAUGUUGAUGACUUAUUUAAAUGGCAGCAAUUAUAUUAAAGAUGUGUGCUAGCAUCAGUAAGACAUUAUUAUUGUCUAAAUUUCUAAACACUGUUACCAUCUCAGCUGAAUUCUUAAUGGUAAUUUCUGUUAUCUUUCUGAUAACUUAUCUUUCUGUAUUAAUUAUCUUUCUGUAACUGGGACUUUGCUAAAGGUAAAAGAAAUGUAAACCUAACUGUCUAAAUAGCAAUUGUUAGACUAAUAACUGAUAUAGAAUGUUUUGCACGUGACUCACAUUACUUUAAUCAAAUGUUAGAAUACACACAAUUUGGCAGGCAAUUUUCUCCAGAGUAAGUUGCAGCAUACAGCUCUUUACUAGAGACUGUAUUCUCCUAAAACCAGUGAAACUAUUUCCUCUUUGCUCUUUCACUUAUGUUUUAGUCAUUUGCAUGUCUUUGAAAGAGCACAGAUAUUUGAAAUGCCUCUUCCAGUUCUGGAUGAUUUCCUAUCUUAAUCCUUUUCAUCAUAACUAACUCAGAUUUUGUUUGUUACUCUUCAUCUCUCCACUCCUAUGUUAAUUUUCUUUCUUAUGUCUUGCUCAGUGUGGUCUGUUGUAACAUCACUGCAACAGUAUUGCCAAAGGCUUGCUUAAUGAAACUAUAUUUUUAAAUUAUAAUUAAAGAUGAUUAGAAAAAUGUUAUUUCUGGAUUUUGUAAAGGAAUUAUCAAAUUUAG
ensembl:lncRNA